AACAAGUCGGCUUGUGAGACAACUGCAACGAAGCCAACGCGGGUCAAUUAAGUUUUGUGCAGAGCAGAGCAUUUGAGCUACGCGAGGAUCCUUUGUGCACAUUGGCAGGACAUCGAGAAGAAAUUAUGACGUCAUCGAAUUUUUCAAAAGAACAGCUCUUAUGUUCAGGGCACGCCUGCCAGAACUGCAAGCUGAAAGUGGACUAUCGCAUGGAGGAACUUAGGAGUUGAAGAAGACGAGGAAGGAUAACAGCUAGCUCUUGCUUGAGCAAAGAUGGGUUCUUGUAGCUUAAGGCACUGUAGCAGCGCGACAAUCGCGUACAGCCAGCCUCGGCUAAAGAAGAUUAUCAUGUGGACCUAGCUGGAGUACAGAACACUCACAGUCUCGGCUGGGUGAAAGCCGCCUGGCCGAGAUUGAGAGGUGGAAGCCACGGCUCCUCUUCGGUUUCUGCGUCUCAGUAGAGUGGAGACAAUGGCACAGCCGCGUCGACUGCCAUCAUGUCUCUGUCACUGCAGGCACAGUUCCUUGUUUCAUGUCUGAAACUUCGAAAUCGCCCUUAAGCAAGCACCAUUAAUUGAUGGAGCAUUCUCAAAAGGUUCAUGAAAGUUUCAGAGCCAACAUCUCUUGAAAUACUAUGCUCCCCGCCAAACUGCCCCAGAAACCCGAUUUCAGCGCACAUGAAGUCACCUGAUAUGUCUUCUUUUCGACAUGCAAGGAAACUAGGCUGUGCCAGCCAGAUGGAGAUCCUCGCUGCUACCAGACAGCCAACUCAACGACACUGUGGUCUACAGGGAGGAGAUCGUGAAUGUUGUCUCACAUGCCCUAUUUUUCCUGAAGCAAGAUCAACGGCCUUACAAUGGAUAGGCCAACAACUAUGCAAAGUAGCAGCAGGCAGGCUUCUACAUCACAAGGCCAGCUGCAGGAAGAAGAUUUUGUCUUGGUUUCACUACUCAGGAAUUGAACAUUUGAGAAUGCCAGAAAUUACGCAGUGAAAACUCUGGGUCCACCUUUCCUUACAUGCUGGUAACAUGGUGCAUCUGAUGAGAACCUUUCCAACUUGCCAUCAAAAGAGACACUGCAUGAUGCAUUCUAAAGGAUGAACAUGACUGUGCUGAUGCUGAUGUCACAUGGCCACAUUAGAUAGUGAUCGGACCUGACAUGGAUCGAAUUUCUUGAUUGGCUCCUUUAUGCAAGCUGCAGAAGGGAGCCAAUCACUGUAGAGAAAUUUGAUCUUGAUUGGGCUUCAUCGUGAUCAGCAGCGUACCGUGUGACACUGGUAUUAGACACUGAAAGAGAAGACCUUUGGAGCUUGUAUUGGACCUGCUGGGAGGUGUCUUCAGUGACAAGGCUCUGCAAUGACCUCGACAGAAAGACUUGUAAUAACAUGGUAAUUAUGCCAUAUGAUGCAUGUUAUGCGUUCUAUUAGUGUAACACACAGGUUUGUGUGCAAGGGGAUCAAUAAUGUUAUUUUUUUUUGUUUGAUUGGGCAUCAUACCAAGCACUUGUUUAAUUCUAGACCCCCUAAUUUGUGCAUUUGCCACACAAAAUGAUACUUGUGUAUAUAGUGACUGUGAUAAAUAUACACAUAUGCAUACUUACAUAGUAUACGGUAAAACCUGUUUAAUUCGGCCCUCAGUUA